rnacentral:rRNA from 1 species
UACCAGCACCCCGAGUGGUCGGGACGAUUAUUGGGCCUAAAGCAUCCGUAGCCGGCCUUACAAGUCCUCCGUUAAAUCCAGCUGCUUAACAGAUGGGCUGCGGAGGAUACUAUAAGACUAGGAGGCAGGAGAGGCAAGCGGUACUCAGUGGGUAGGGGUAAAAUCCGUUGAUCCAUAGAAGACCACCAGUGGCGAAGGCGGCUUGCCAGAAUGCGCUCGACGGUGAGGGAUGAAAGCUGGGGGAGCAAACCGG